rnacentral:rRNA from 1 species
GACGAACGCGGGCGGCGUGCCUAAUACAUGCAAGUAGAACGCUGAAGGAGGAGCUUGCUCUUCUGGAUGAGUUGCGAACGGGUGAGUAACGCGUAGGUAACCUGCCUGGUAGCGGGGGAUAACUAUUGGAAACGAUAGCUAAUACCGCAUAAUAGUAGUUGUUGCAUGACAACUGUUUGAAAGGUGCAAUUGCAUCACUACCAGAUGGACCUGCGUUGUAUUAGCUAGUUGGUGGGGUAACGGCUCACCAAGGCGACGAUACGUAGCCGACCUGAGAGGGUGAUCGGCCACACUGGGACUGAGACACGGCCCAGACUCCUACGGGAGGCAGCAGUAGGGAAUCUUCGGCAAUGGACGGAAGUCUGACCGAGCAACGCCGCGUGAGUGAAGA